ensembl:snRNA U4 U4 spliceosomal RNA
AGCUUUGCGCAGUGGCAGUAUCGUAGCCAAUGAGGUUUAUCCAAGGUGCAAUUAUUACUAAUUAAAAUGGUAAAUUUUAUGUUAUGCAUAUUUUAGCACAAUUAAAAAAAAC